rnacentral:rRNA from 1 species
UACAGAGGGUGCAAGCGUUAAUCGGAAUUACUGGGCGUAAAGCGUGCGUAGACGGUUACAUAAGUCGGGUGUGAAAGCCCCGGGCUCAACCUGGGAAUUGCAUUCGAGACUGCGUAGCUAGGGUGCGGAAGAGGGAAGCGGAAUUUCCGGUGUAGCGGUGAAAUGCGUAGAUAUCAGGAGGAACACCGAUGGCGAAGGCAGUGUUCUGGGCCAGUACUGACGCUGAGGAGCGAAAGCGUGGGGAGCAAACAGG